CGCACUCUCUCGUGCGUGAUUCCUGAGACACAGAAAAAAAAAAAAAUAAUAAUUCCGCUAUGUUCCAUCCGAUAUUCUGCGAAAAACGGAAUCCUCUCGCAUCGUCGUCGAAGGAGAAGGAGACGACAGGAGGGAGCGACAGGAAAGUCGCGGAUGAAACGUAAUAAAUUAAAUCAGUGGAUCAUCCUUUGAUCUUUUGUCGAUUGUUCGUUAAUUGCGUAGUUUCUCGGUUUUCUCCUGAGAGAACAAAGACAAAUCCUACGUCGUUCCAGCAGCCGUACCAGUCGGAAUUGACCAGUAACGUUGAUCGAUCAGCCGCAUCGACCAAUCGCAGCAGAUGAAGCUCGAGAGAGAGACCUUGAAGGAACCGCGACGAAGUGUAGAAGACCGGAAAAAGAAUGAACAAUUCAGUUGAGGGUACCCCGACACUGAGGAGCUCCGCAAAG